rnacentral:lncRNA from 1 species
UGUAUGGUAAUCACGUGCUUAAUUUAGCAGAGGGGUACGAUGCUAAACGACGUUCUACUUCUGUAAAAGAUGAGACUGUUCCAGCUGCAUUACGGGAAAAGGAAGUUUUUUCUUGUUAAUCGUGGUGUUGGUAGAAUAAAAGUUAAAAGCACGCUCUUUCUUCUUAACUCUACCUUCUAUCGGUUGAUUGCCAUGCCAUUUCUGACCUUCACAACCAAUAUAAUAUUGUCAAUUCCGAUAUCUUCCUUCAGCACCACGUCAGCAAUUGUGCAGCUGCGUCAUCUACAUCUACAUUUGUUACUUCUUCUGCAGCUUGCCAUUUACCGUUUAAAAAGUUUAUUUACGUUCUUCUAGGUGCAACAUUUUACAAUCAGAAUGGACUAAAGUGAGUGCAUCGUGCACCUGCUGGUUGCUAAUUUAAGUUUCGAUACCUCUUGGUCUUUCUUGUUCUAAAUCGCUGUCUCUCUUCGGUGUAGAUGUAGUAUUAAAAGGAAAGCAAUAGAGCAUGCGCUCCCUCCGUCUGACUGUUUUAGAUAUCUUCCACAGGAAAAUAGCGCAUCCUUAACGGAGUAACUUUCCAGUAGGGCCGAUAAUUAGAGGAAUUAAACAGAAUUUAUCUUUUCAUCAGAUAUGUAGAUGAUUAUAAGAAUUUUUCUGCAGCAACUCGCUACAAGAUGCAUCACUGCCGUCGCCGCCGCUGCUGCUGCUGCAGCGUGGCGAAUUGAGGGUGGUGCACGCUGUUAUCUCGCGCACUUCUUCUCCCCUUAGCAGCCAACAGGUGCACGCAAGAGCACCGCCGAUUGCAUAAGCGAAAAAAGUUAUGAAUUUGCACAGUACCACCAGCACGUUACCAGUCCACGUGGGUGAGAGCGGCCCAAGAGGAAUGGUCCGUCACGUGACACAUUACUAGUCUACUUCUCGGCGGAUGGUAAGACACUAAAUUACCAUUUUACUUAAUUUCUGAUCACAAAUAUGCGUAAUGUAUUGCUAAAACUUGUAAAAUUCUUUGAGAAGUUAACUAUAGACACCGAUCGGUUAAGAAUACCCAUUAUUCUUCGUCUUUAGUACAACAAGAUGGCGCAUCACCAUCGAAUAGGAAGAUGAUUCCGUAAAAAAAAAAAGAAAAAAAAAACAAACUUUGUUCUAAAGAUUUCAUUUUGUAAGUUACGAAGAAUUUAUUAUGAUCGGUGCACUUGGA